GGUUGCCUACGGGGCGCAGCAGUAGGGAAUAUUGCUCAAUGGGGGAAACCCUGAUGCAGCAACGCCGCGUGAGUGAUGACGGCCUUCGGGUUGUAAAGCUCUGUCUUCAGGGACGAUAAUGACGGUACCUGAGGAGGAAGCCACGGCUAACUACGUGCCAGCAGCCGCGGUAAUACGUAGGUGGCGAGCGUUGUCCGGAUUUACUGGGCGUAAAGGGAGCGUAGGCGGGCUUUUAAGUGAGAUGUGAAAUACUCGGGCUCAACU
rnacentral:rRNA from 1 species